rnacentral:sRNA from 1 species
UGCUUCUUCUUCCUCUUCUUCU